CGCUCUGUAAUUUCUGCAUAGAAGGAUGCCUUUCCUGCUAGGUGUACGUCCAGCUACGGAACAGUGAGGCUGGAAUGUGCAGCAGGGAUCUGCAGAUGCUCUUGCAGUACAAGAAAUAACCAGUGAGGGAUAUAGUGCAGAGUCUGCGAGCCAGCCACCUCCGUCCUGCUGCCCCUUUCCCAGAGGAUCUGCAUGGGAACUGUGCUGUGUACUUUCACGGGGUGGAGGUGAUGUCUGGUAAGACAUUAUCUAAAGGGUCAGAGUCCUAUCUAAUGGGUGGGACAAUGUGGUAUCAGCCUAAUGGCUAAUCAUGCAUCUGAUUACGAUCAGGUGCUGUGGCUUGGAGGCUCUAAAGACACCUGAGAGAGAGCAGAAAAAGAAAUGAAACAACAGCCAUGGAGUGGACUCAUCAAGUGAACAUCAAAAAUGAUGAGAGAGUUUUGUUUGGCCCUUUUCCUACGGCAACAAAGCAUCUUCCCAGUGUUGCCCCUCCGCCUCCCCAGCAUACUAACGGUGCAUGAAAGACACUAUGACAUUGAAAACUACACUAUGGACAAAG
rnacentral:lncRNA from 1 species